AUCCCCCAUCGAAUUAUUUCGUUAUCAUAUAUAUAUAUAUAUACACAUAUAUAUAUGUUUUUUUUUCUAAAUACAUAUAAGGGGCCCUAAAUGUUUUCGGAGAUUCGUUCAGGUAAAAUUUAUAUAAAAAAGAAAAGAAAUUUGAAAACGAAGGAACGACGAAAGAACGAGAACGACACGUAAUAUCGUUCCUACUAUCCCCGUACCCAUCAUAUCUUUCUUUUUUCUUUUUUUUUUUUUUUCAGACUUCUUCGUAGAGAAUCAUCAAGUGGUUGCGGUAAAAGCCAUGUUAAAUAAUUACAAAAGUGAGAUGGGAAGAGAAGAGGAAAGAUCGGUCGAAUUUCGAGAAAGAUUCGCAAGACAGACAGAGAAAGAGACAGAGACGAAGAGAGAGAGAGAGAGAGAGAAAGAGAGAGAGAGAGAGAAAGAGAGAGAGAAAGACAAUGAAAGAUUUCGGCGAAUGAAAAAAGUCGAUGAUCUCGAUCGCAGGUGCGGCCGAGGUCGUCGCCAAUGGGAGGCACUCUCUGCGAGAGAGGCUUGCAUUGGCGUUCCGUGCACAUACACACAGAUAUAUAUAUAUAUAUAUGUACUACAUUUAUACAUACAUAUAGAAUACAUAUAUAUAUAUAUAAAAAUAUAUAUAUAUAGAUAUAUAUGUACGUACACACAUCCAUCGUACGGAGCGAUGGUGGCCUCGUCGGACUCUUGGGAGGGAACAGAACAGCGCAGCACAGCACAGCACAGCACAGCUUCGGAAUAGGACUCUUGUUUUUACGUGCGUGUGCGUGCCAAGGAGAAACGGUGAAGAGAGAGAGAGAGAGAGAAAGAGAGAGAAAAGGAAGAGAAAGGAAGGAGGGGUCCUCUAAUUAGGCGAUCGGCCGCCGCCGUCGCCGCCACCAUCGCCACCGCCGUCGAAGCCAUCGGUAUAUACCAAGUACCAUAUAACAUAUGCCAUGGGACGUGAUGCGAUACGUGCUCUACACACGUUAUAUGUAUAACGCUUACGCGUCGAGGAGGAAGAGGAACGGGAAAAGAAAGGAGGCUGAGAAUGAAAUAAAUAAAGAAGAGAAAGAAGUUAGGGAAGGUUUGUGGGGGGAAAGAAGUGGAAGGAGAGAGAGAGAGAGAGAGAGAGAACAGAAAAAAAAAAGAGAAAAAAGUAGUAAGAAAGAAAGAAAGAAAGAAAGUAAGUAAGAAAGAAGGAAAGAAAGAAAGAGGCACCGAAAAAAAGAGGAAGGUCGUAAAUCAACCGGCAAUGAGGCACCCUGGGCCCUACCCUGGGACUCUCUCUCUUUCUUUCUCUGUUUCUCUCUUUACUCGAACGUAGGCCCCACCCGUCUUGCUCCCGGAACCACCCAACCUCUCUCUCUCUCUCUCUCUCUCUCUCUCUCUCUCUCUCUCUCUCUCUCUCUCAUUCUCUCUCGCCCAAUCUUUGACGUUUGCGGACUCCUCGCCCGAGUAAGGGGAAUCACGUACGCAUUUGCUUUAUCUUUUUAUAGUUUCCUCUCUUCUUUUCUUUCUUUCUUUCUUUCUUUCUUUCCUUUUCUAAUCUUUUUUUUUAUCCUUUCCUUUCCCUUUUUCAACGACUCCAUCGUUCAUUCCCUAUGAACAUAACCUCUUCUUAGAAAAAUCUUUCGAGUUUCGAUUCCUCGUAAUAAAUAAUAAAAAGAAAGAAAAAAAAGAAAAGGAAUUACCGGUUGCGAUUCUCGAAAAAUAUCGACACAAGUACAUAUAUAUAUAUAUAUACAUGCAACCAUAUGUAAAUAUGCAUAUAUAUAUAUAUAUAUGCACGUAUACGUAUAUACAUAUCUCGAGUGAAAGCGCAAGUUUGUGUCAUCGAAAUCAUUAUUACGGCAGGUGUGUAUACGUAAAAGGGAAUCCGAGAGGUAGGAGAUUGAAGGUGGAAGGUGUGGGAUGAGGAAAGGAUAGUACGAGUAAUACUCGGUACUAUCUUGCGUAUAUAUGUACUUAUAUAUAUAUUCUACGUACGUAUAUAUACCUAUAUAUAUAUGUAUAUAUAUGUGUACGUAUGUAUGUAAGGAUCUGAAAAAGAUUGGUUUGGAUGAAGGGAGACGAAGAAAUAAAGAGAGGUAUAGAGAGAGAGAGAGAGAGAAAGAGAAGAGAAGAAGAAGGAGAAAGAAUAAAAAUAAGAAAAUGAAGAAGAAGAAGAAGAAGGAUAAGAGAAGAGAUGGAGGAUGAAGAGAAAGAGGAGGAAGAAGAGGAGGAGGUCGAACGCUGGAGGCAACGAGUUGAACGGACGAACGCCGAGAGAGGAACGGAUCCUCGGCGUCCUCGAUCGCGGGAUCCCGGAGCAAAACUAACGAUCCUCUGCUCGCGUCCAAGAUCAACACGACGAUAAUUUAAUACACGAGAUCGCCACCCAGGUGCGCACUGACGUGUACAGAUGCUGUCCGGCCACGUGAGGGGAAGUUGUACGUUCGUUCACGUGCUUGUAUAUCAGUAUAUAUAUACAUAUAUAAUAUAUAUAUAUAUAUAUUUAUAUAUAUUUAUAUAUGCAUUCAUAUGUAUGGAUAUAUAUUUUAUAUAUAUAUAUAUAUAUAUAAAUUUGUAUGUGUAUGUUGAGUGAAAGAAAUUGAGGGGAGAAGAAGACGAUCGAGAAAUCUAAGAGGAGAAAGACGAGAGAGCGGCUAACCUCUCGCGGCUCUUUUGUUCUCUCUUCGCUCCCGUUCCUUUUCUCUCUCUCUCUCUCUCUCUCUCUCUCCCUCUCUUACUCUUUCUCUUUCUUUCUAUCUUUCUCUCUCUCUCUCUCUCUCUCUCUUGGUUCGUUCCUCUAGUUCCCACACUCUCCACAGUUCGCCGCCGUUUCGUUUCGUUAUCUCUUCGAAAGCAGCGAAACGCGCGACAUACUUUGCUCCCGAUUUGUCUCUUCUAACAUCGCAAAAUCUGUUAAAUAUUUAAUUUAAUAUACGAUAUAAAUAUGUACGAACAUAUUACUCAACUUGUAUGAAAGAUCACGUAUAAAUAUCGUGAUGCUUCGGUUUCCUUCCCAAUGGCCGACGUUGUUUCAUGUUCCAUCGUGCGAUCUAGACUUUCACCUUUUUGCCAAGAGACGAAGAAGGAAAUAACAGAUGAAAUCGUUGGAUCGCUGAAACGAUCCACGUUGCAUAAUGGACGGAUGAAUCGCGUCAAUGGAAGAAUUUUUAACAGAAAUAUGAUUCAUUCGAUAAUAAACGAAUAGCUAAAAUUGUUACGUAUUGUAUAUAAGUAACGGAUAAUGGCCGGAAUCGAUCAAGUUCCAUUACGUGGAAAAUGAAGAAGAAUAUAAGAAAAAUAAUAAUUAACAAGGAUGACUUACGAUUAUUUUUCAAAUCAUGAUAAUGGUCAAAGUAAAUGACUUUUCAAUUAUUUUUAUCGAUAGAUUAAGAAAAGAAGAUAAAUUGUUGGAUUAUCAUUUCAACGAACAAAUUUUAAUUUUCUCAAAGAAAAAUAUCUUUCUCCACCUAUUCUCUUUUAUUAAAUUUAA